AAAUCAAUCAUGCUGCUCUGUGUUAUUUCAGAAUCUCUGUGCAGAUAACACCAAGAAAUUGUCCUCAAAUCAAGCUGCUGCUGUUUCAGAAUUACAAGUUACUUGUCAAAAUGAUUUGGAGCACCGGGAGAAUGCGGAGAACAUGACUGAGACAGCUACGUUAGAGAAAACCAGUGUGAUUAAAGAUGACAUACUCCUAAAGUAUGAAACAGAAGAGGAAGAGCACAAAUAUGACUAUGUGGAUGAAAACUUAAUUGAAAACAUCAGAAAAAAAUUCCAGGAAGGCACAUUGCAUGAUAGAACAUACAUCCCAAAGAAGAAAAGGGGAGAAAAACCUGAAUAAUACUGAAGUUCACCAGACAUGACUGCAAAUCUGCAUGCGUCAUACAGAGAGACCAUCCAUAGCUACAAGAAAAGUCAACUCAUGAAUGAAAAAGUGUUCUUUUCUGUCUCAUGAAGAUCAUUUGAGCCCAUAAUUACAUAUAUAUAUAUAUGUAUGUGUAUGGGGGGGUGCACACGCGCGCACACA